UGGGCAACCUGCCCUCAGCUCUGGGAUAACUCCGGGAACCGGGCUAAUACCGGAUACGACCUUCCCUCGCAUGGGGGUUGGUGGAAAGUUCUUCGGCUGAGGAUGGGCCCGCGGCCUAUCAGCUAGUUGGUGAGGUAACGGCUCACCAAGGCGACGACGGGUAGCUGGUCUGAGAGGAUGGCCAGCCACAUUGGGACUGAGACAUGGCCCAGACUCCGUACGGGAGGCA
rnacentral:rRNA from 1 species